GACGAACGCUGGCGGCGUGCUUAACACAUGCAAGUCGAACGGAAAGGCCCUGCUUGCAGGGUACUCGAGUGGCGAACGGGUGAGUAACACGUGGGUGAUCUGCCCUGCACUUCGGGAUAAGCCUGGGAAACUGGGUCUAAUACCGGAUAGGAGCCAUUUUUAGUGUGAUGGUUGGAAAGUUUUUUCGGUGUAGGAUGAGCUCGCGGCCUAUCAGCUUGUUGGUGGGGUAAUGGCCUACCAAGGCGGCGACGGGUAGCCGGCCUGAGGGGGUGGACGGCCACAUUGGGACUGAGAUACGGCCCAGACUCCUACGGGAGGCAGAAGUGGGGAAUAUUGCACAAUGGGCGCAAGCCGGAUGCAGCGACGCCGCGGGGGGGAUGACGGCCUUCGGGUUGUAAACUCCUUUCGCUAGGGACGAAGCUUUUUGUGACGGUACCUAGAGAAGAAGCACCGGCUAACUACGUG
rnacentral:rRNA from 1 species